rnacentral:rRNA from 1 species
UACGGAGGAUCCAAGCGUUAUCCGGAUUUAUUGGGUUUAAAGGGUGCGUAGGCGGUUUUUUAAGUCAGAGGUGAAAGACGGUGGCUCAACCAUCGCAGUGCCUUUGAUACUGAGGAACUCGAAUCUACCUGAAGUAGGCGGAAUGUGACAAGUAGCGGUGAAAUGCAUAGAUAUGUCACAGAACACCAAUUGCGAAGGCAGCUUACUAAAGUAGGAUUGACGCUGAGGCACGAAAGCGUGGGGAUCAAACAGG